CGUUCGACGCUCGUCGCGCGAGCGGGGGCGGAGCGGCCCGUGGUGCAGAUCUUGGUGGUAGUAGCGAUCACCCAGGCGAGAACCCUGAGGCCGAAGUGGAGAAGGGUUCUCGAGAACGGCACUCGCUCGAGAGUUAGUCGAUCCUAAGCUGCCGGCGGCAGCCACGAAACGGUCGAUCGGGGCGCGAGCCCGGCAGCCACGACCGGGCAGCGAAGGGAAUUGGGAACCUCCUUCCCAAACCCGGAACCGGAACGAGGGCGGCGACGCGAACGAAACGGCCGCGGAGACGGCGGCCGCGGCCCCCGGAGAGAGUUCUCUUUUCUGUGCGACUGGACGUCGGCCCCGGAAUCGCGUCGAGCGGAGGGGGGUCGGAGUUCAGGAAUAGCACCCCGGCCUUUCGGGGUGUCCGGGCGGCCGCGGUCGUCCCAUGAAAAUCCGCGGAUGAACGAGUAGGCGACGGUCCGGGUCGUACCAAUGACCGCAUCGGGUCUCCAAGGUUGAAAGCCUCUGGCUAACGGGACAACGUAGGUAAGGGAAGUCGGCAAAUUGGAUCCGUAACUUCGGGAAAAGGAUUGGCUCUAAAGGUCGGGCCCGGG
rnacentral:rRNA from 1 species